ACUGGCAACAAGAUUGCAGCUAUGAUUCUUGCCCAUAGAUAGUCCAACACCAAAACAAGAUAUGAUGGUUCCUUCUGAAUCCUUGUCAAACAAGUUCCCUCAUAAAUUCUCUUCAACUCCAUGUAUGCCAAGCUGACCUUUAUGAACGUAAGUGCAACAAGCCUACGAAUUAUGGAGCUUGUAGAUAUCUGCUUGUGUACCCCACUGUAGAGCGUCUCAUAUACCAAAGGAACAGAGAUCAUGUAAUGUGGUUGAUAAUGCUGGAGAUCUUCCCUUAAGUUUCUCACAGUUGUGUACACUUGCUCAACUCCACACGUCAUUAUGAAAUACUCACAAGNGCUCAUACGCAUGCCAAGGCGGUAACAUGCUUAGAAAUCUAUCCCCAGGUAUUGCAGGAACAAUUUCCCAGAGAUUAUUUAUCUGGUGCAACAAAUUCUUAUGCGUAAGCAUUACACCUUUAGGAUUUCCAGUGGUUCCACUAGUAUAAACAAGUGUAGCAAUGUCAUCUGAGCUGAUUGUUUCAUACAUAUAGUGUUGCCUAGCAUAAUCACAGUCGAACAAAGAUCUACGGCUCUCUCGUCCCAAGUCUAUAAUUUCUUUGUAAUUG
rnacentral:misc_RNA from 1 species